AUUACUGAGCGUGAAGCCACGCAGGGCGCCUGUCCUGCGCGGCUGACCCUCCACCCGUGUGAACUGAUUAUGUUGCUUUGGCGGGCCGGGCUCGACCUACCGGCUCCGGCUGGGGAGUGCCCGCCAGAGAAGCCCCAACUCAUGUAGUUAGUGCAGUCUGAGAAAAACUUAAUAAGUAAAACUUUCAACAACGGAUCUCUUGGCUCUGGCAUCGAUGAAGAACGCAGCGAAAUGCGAUAAGUAAUGUGAAUUGCAGAAUUUAGUGAAUCAUCGAAUCUUUGAACGCACAUUGCGCCCCCCGGUAUUCCGAGGGGCAUGCCUGUUCGAGCGUCAGAACAUCCUCUCAAGCCUGGCUUGGUCUUGGGGCGCGCCGGUUCGGCGUCCCCUAAACACAGUGGCGGUACCGUUGUGCUCUCCGCGUAGUCACGUAUCUCGCGACAGAGUGGCGAUGGGACCUGCCAAAACCCACAUAUUUUUUGGAUGACCUCGGAUCAGGUAGGGAUACCCGCUGAACUUAAGCAUAUCAAUAAGCGGAGGA
rnacentral:rRNA from 1 species